rnacentral:rRNA from 1 species
CCUACGGGAGGCUGCAGUGGGGAAUAUUGGACAAUGGGGGGAACCCUGAUCCAGCCAUGCCGCGUGUGUGAAGAAGGCCCUCGGGUUGUAAAGCACUUUCAGUGAGGAAGAACGCCUGGUGGUUAAUACCCAUCAGGAAAGACAUCACUCACAGAAGAAGCACCGGCUAACUCCGUGCCAGCAGCCGCGAUAAUACGGAGGGUGCGAGCGUUAAUCGGAAUUACUGGGCGUAAAGCGCGCGUAGGUGGCUUGAUAAGCCGGUUGUGAAAGCCCCGGGCUCAACCUGGGAACGGCAUCCGGAACUGUCAAGCUAGAGUGCAGGAGAGGAAGGUAGAAUUCCCGGUGUAGCGGUGAAAUGCGUAGAGAUCGGGAGGAAUACCAGUGGCGAAGGCGGCCUUCUGGACUGACACUGACACUGAGGUGCGAAAGCGUGGGUAGCAAACAGGAUUAGAUACCCUUGUAGUC